rnacentral:rRNA from 1 species
UACAGAGGGGGCAAGCGUUGUUCGGAAUUACUGGGCGUAAAGGGCGCGUAGGCGGCCUGCUAAGUCGAACGUGAAAUCCCCGGGCUCAACCCGGGAACUGCGUCCGAUACUGGUGGGCUUGAAUCCGGGAGAGGGAUGUGGAAUUCCAGGUGUAGCGGUGAAAUGCGUAGAUAUCUGGAGGAACACCGGUGGCGAAGGCGGCAUCCUGGACCGAUAUUGACGCUGAUGCGCGAAAGCCAGGGGAGCAAACGGG